AAAAGCAGAGACAUCACUUUGCCAACAAAAGUCUGUCUAGUCAAAGCUAUGGUUUUUCCAGUAGUCAUGUAUGGAUGUGAGAGUUGGACCAUAAGGAAGGCUGAUAAUAAAGAAGGAUUGAUCCUUUUGAACUGUGGUAUUGGAGAAGACUCUUGAGAUUUCCUUGGACAGCAAGAAGAUCAAACCAGUCUACCCUAAAGGAAAUCAGUCCUGAAGGACUGAUGCUGAAACUGAAGCUCCAAUACUAUGGCCACCUGAUGCGAAGAGCUGACUCCUUGGGAAAGACCCUGAUGCUGGGAAAGAUUGAAGGCAGGAGGAGAAGGGGAUGACAGAUGGUUGGAUGGUAUCACUGACUCGAUAGACAUGAGUUUGAGCAGGCUCUGGGGAUUGGUGACAGACAGGGAAGCCUGGUGUGCUGCAGUCCAUGGGGUCUCAAAGAGUCGGACAUGACUGAGCAACUGAACUGAAGUGAUCCUCCCCUAAACCCCCCUCCCAUCCAGACUGGUGCAUAGCAUUGAGCAGAGUUCCAGAUUAUUUUCCCUGAUAGAUUAUUACAAGAUAUUGAGUCGAGUUCCAUGUGAUUAUACAGUAAGUCCUUGUUUAUCUAUUUUUAAAUGGAUUUUUACUGAAGUAUAAUUUAUUUAUAAUGUUGUGUUAAUUUCAAGUGUACAACAAAGUGAUGCAUUCAUACAUAUAUACAUAUAUCUUCCUCUUCAGUCUUUUCCCUUAUAGGUUAUCAUAAAAUAUUGAGUAGAGCUCCCUUUGUUAUAUAGUAGGUCCUUUUGAUGAUGUAUUUUAUAUAGGCGUGUGUAUAUGUUAAUCCCAAAUUCCUAAUUUAUCCCUCCCCCCUUACCCCCUCAUCCAGACUUUUAAGACACAAUGUGUGGAUAAAAUCUUCUUUCUUCUUAAAUGUAAAAUGAAAACCAUAGGGACCAUUAAGAUUGUGGAAAAGGGGCAAAGUGUCAGGGGCAAAGUGACAGGCAGUAUGUGGCACUAAAAAUGAUAGUUAUGAAAGUCAAGUAAUAACAUAAAAAAACCACUGUGAUAUAAUAUUAAAAGAGAUUACAAAGAUAUAUGUGCCUAGAAAAAAAAGGGGUAGAUGGAAAUAUUCCAAAAUGCUAACUAACAGUGAUGAGAAUUUG
ensembl:lncRNA